CAAAGCGUAGUUUAAUUUAAUUAGAGCAUCGGCUUUGGGUGCCGAAGGUGGGAGUGUAAUUCUCGUCGUUUUGA
rnacentral:tRNA from 1 species